rnacentral:lncRNA from 1 species
AGAAAAGUGAGCCUACGAAAGCGUUUUAACCUUACUGAGUUUCGUCCUGGCUUCUGAUUCCACAAAAGAAGACAUCAGUAAACUAAGAAGGGCCCCAUCGCAGGAUCUUCAGUAAGUUUCCAUCUUACUAAACUAUCAUCACAGUGCAGUCCUGCCUUCUGGAGGAAAUAUCCUGACUUUCUCCAUAAAGUUCGGACUACUUAUGAUCUUUUUGGUCAUCAUUUAUAUGCCAACCCAGCAUUUCCUACAUUGCGGGCCCCAGAGGAACUGAGUCCUGUUCUGAAGCUUUUUGAGAGCUCAAAGUUCAGCAU